UUUAUUUAUUUACCGAUAUUUUAUACAUUUGUUUGCAUAGUAUACCAAUAUGAAUAAUUUUUUUUGGUUACCCAACCCGAAAUGUUUUUAAUGACAAUUUAAUUAAUUAGAAAUAAAUUUCAGAUUAUGUAGAUUGACAAUAUUUUUUAAAUCAAAAAAUUUACAUAUUCCAAAGGGCGUAACUCAACUAACAAAUGUAAAUAUUAUUAUUAGACUGAGACAUGUCUAUUUCCAAUUCUGAAUUUAAACUUAGCUACCACCGUUUUGGUAAUAAACUACCACGCAUAUGAAGUGCCACUGGAAGGUUGAACAUUAAGGAUAUGUGAAUUUGCUAUACCUUAAAUUGGUAACAAAUAUGUUGCUAUACCUUAAAUUUAGUGUCUAAAAAGGUAAAGAAAAAGUUGGUAACAAAUAUGUUGCUAUACCUUAAAUUUAGUGUCUUGAAUUCAUACUAUUGGUGACUAUUUAAAGACUCCUUGUUUGUCACUGCACAAAAAAGGGUUAGCAAUCNN
rnacentral:lncRNA from 1 species